GGACGCCAGGUCCUAGGAGGUUAAUGUAAUGAAAUGGUUCUAAUACCUGAUCUUCUGACAAAUCUAAUGGUUUUGUGUGCGUGCAUGUGUGUGUGUGUGUGUGUGUCUGCUUAUGUGCUGUCAUUGUUUGUACAGGCGGGGAAUUCAACAGUGGCACGGAGCCCAGAUCUUGUCUGAGAACUUUAGUGCUUGCUUUGGUGCCCUCUUGUGGUCAGAGUUGGUACUUGGGAAGCUUGUUAUGCAAAGCAGGUAAAGUACAAGUGUGCACUUAGAAGUGAAACCUUGGCCCACGUACACCUUUUUACAAAAAGGAGAAAAGGAGAGAGCAAGAGGAAAAUGGAUAACAGAUACGAUGUAUAGAAAAUUCAAAGUAACGUGUCGUUGUAACCUGGAGAUGCAGACCAAAGGUGGUGCUGCAACACCAAACAACACAGAAGUAACCAGAGUUUUUACAUUGGCUCACAGACAUUGAAGCAGAUUUUGUGCUCUUUACAUGACUGUAUAUGUGGUGUCAUGGAUAGAAAAAUCUGCAGAAUCAUUCUGGCUUUGGAAUAUUUAGUUGAAUAAAAAAAAAAAUGAAGUAAAAAUGGAAGAUGUGAGUGUGAAGGUGAAGGUGUGUGGGAGUCUCAGGGUGUCUACAGAGAGUGUGUAGAAAGACAAAGGAGCAGCAGAGCAGUCCAGAUACACCGAUGACCCUCUGUCAGAUCCUGAGUGACACAAAGGGGAUGAUGGUGCACUCUACACUCUGUGACAGUGGAACUAUUCUUAGAGCAGUUCACUCUGCACUGACAGUUAUCUGCUCUUAUUUUCAUCGAUCUGUCAGUCGCUGCUGGAUAAAGCACCCAACCUCCCAGUAACAUGUCCCAGCCAGAGCAUUUACACUUAAGCUGCUGCCAUCUCAACAACUCUGAAUCAUCAGGACACAGCUCAUCCAGCUUCAGCACAAACCACCCUGUUUACCACCAUUCCCAUCAGAAGAGAAGAGAAGAGCAGGUAUUUAAGGCGAACUGGUGUUGUAUUCCUAACUUCAUAGUUUCCGUGAUUAGAUGUCCCAAAAGGAUUAAUAAAGUUCUAUUCUAUUCUAUUCUCUCAGCUGUCAUGCUGGAGUGAACACACUGAAAUUAACCUGCACAGAGAUAUUUAACAUUAAGUUUGUUUCCUCUGUUGGUUUCACUCAAGUCCAGGGUGAAAAUAAUCUGCUGAGAGUCCAGAAUGCCUCAUUACUGCAAAAAGACUUUUGUUCUACUAAGUCUCUGUCUGCACAUGUGUACACACUGAAA